ACUCAGAAACUGAAGUCGAAGAAAUGCGACAAUCAGGACUCAUCCCUCAAGGUGCUGGAAAAAUGCAUGCUGUGAGAAUGGAGAUGCUGGAGAAGUGGAUGGCUCCUUUAUUUGCUGGAGAGGUUCAGAUGAUAUCAGUAAUGAAUGUCUGCUGGGAAGAAGACAGAAAGAACGAGCAUUUGCAUUUGCCAGUGUGCCUGCGAGGCAAUGAAGAACAGAAGCUGUUAUCCAGCGACGCCACAUGGACUGAAAUAUAUGCUUAAAUACUCUGAAUUAGGUUGGUUUCCUGACAAGCAAGGCAAUGCACUUAGGUGUGUGCUUAAAUUUAAAUAUGUUGUUAAGUCCUAUUCAUGCCAAAGAAAUCUAAGCAUGUGCUUAAAGUUGAGAAGUUUACUGAAUUGUGGCAAAACUGAGAGGCCUUUGUAGAAUUAAUUAAUCUAUCUGAACUACUUUUUAUGUAUGUGACCCAAAGAGAACUAUAUGGCUUCUGUGUGAUUUUUAAACAUAUCUUUCAGUUAAAUCAAGGGUCCAGACACAAAUGGUAGUACACAUUAUAUGGAUUUAUGACAUUCCCUGGAGGAUUCUGGGUCAAUAAAGCAGUGAAUGGAUGGCAAAGAGGCCUCUAAAGUGUUUGCUUGGAAUUUGCAAUGAAUGAAUGAAUUACUGUUUGUUUUAUGACUGGAAAACAUCUUUCUAUGGAUGCUGCAGAUCAGGCUGACUGACAGAUGUAAUGUGCUUUUGCUGUGCUUUGAACGACUCUAUUUAUUGUAUACAAGGCAGAAGUAAAAAAAAAUAAAAGG